rnacentral:rRNA from 1 species
UACGAAGGGGGCUAGCGUUGUUCGGAAUUACUGGGCGUAAAGCGCACGUAGGCGGAUAGUACAGUCAGGCGUGAAAUUCCUGGGCUCAACCUGGGGGCUGCGUUUGAUACGUAUUGUCUGGAGUUCGGAAGAGGGUCGUGGAAUUCCCAGUGUAGAGGUGAAAUUCGUAGAUAUUGGGAAGAACACCGGUGGCGAAGGCGGCGACCUGGUCCGAUACUGACGCUGAGGCGCGAAAGCGUGGGGAGCAAACAGG